rnacentral:rRNA from 1 species
CCUACGGGAGGCAGCAGUGGGGAAUAUUGCGCAAUGGUGGAAACCCUGAUGCAGCGACGCCGCGUGAAGGACGAAGGCUUUCGGUAUGUAAACUUCUAUCAGCAGGGAAGAAAAUGACUGUACCUGACUAAGUAUCUCCUGCUAACUACGUUCCAGCAGCCGCGGUAAUACGUAGGGGGCAAGCGUUAUCCGGAUUUACUGGGGGUAAAGGGGUCGUAGGCGGUUGAGCAAGUCAGAAGUGAAAGCCCUGGGCUCAACUCUGGGACUGCUUUUGAAACUGUUGAACUAGAUUGCAGGAGAGGUAAGUGGAAUUCCUGGUGUAGCGGUGAAAUGCGUAGAUAUUAGGAGGAACACCAGUGGUGAAGGCGGCAUACUGGCCUGUAAAUGACGCUGAGGCUCGAAAGCGUGGGGAGCAAACAGGAUUAGAUACCCUAGUAGUC